rnacentral:tRNA from 1 species
GUGGGUAUAGCUCAGUUGGUUAGAGCGCUAGGUUGUGGCCCUAGAGGUCAUGGGUUCAACUCCCAUUAUUCACCCCA